GCAGGGGUGGUGGAAUUGGUAGACACGCUACUUUGAGGGGGUAGUGGGCAAUUGCCUGUGAGGGUUCGAGUCCCUUCUUCUGCA
rnacentral:tRNA from 1 species